GUGGAUAUAGCUCAGUGGUAGAGCACGUGCUUAGCAUACUCAAGGUCCUGGGUUCAAUCCCCCGUACCUCCA
rnacentral:tRNA from 1 species